GACGAACGCUGGCGGCGUGCUUAACACAUGCAAGUCGAACGGAAAGGCCUCAGCUUGCUGGGGUACUCGAGUGGCGAACGGGUGAGUAACACGUGGGUGAUCUGCCUUUCACUCUGGGAUAAGCUUGGGAAACUGGGGCUAAUACCGGAUAUGAACUGCCUUUGGAUGGGUGGGUGUAGAGUUUUUUCGGGGCAAGAUUUGCUCGCGGCCUUUCAGCUUGUUUGUGGGGUGUUGGGCUACCAAAGCGUCGAGGGGUGGCCCGGCUGAGAGGGUGUACGGGCAAAUUGGGACUGGGAUACGGGCCAGACUCCUACGGGGGGCAACAGGUGGGAAUAUUGGACAAUGGGGGGGAGCCUGAUGGAGCGACGGCGGGUGGGGGAUGACGGCCUUCGGGUUGUAAACUCCUUUCGACAGGGACGAAGCUGUUUGUGACGGUACCUGGAUAAGAAGCACCGGCUAACUACGUG
rnacentral:rRNA from 1 species